GAGGCAAUAGUUGCUAAAAUAAACACCAAAUCAUCUCAUAAAGAAUUAUGUCUUUAUAUACUUCUGGUGUGAUUUCUCUCCUCUGUUCAUUGAUAGUGUACUUAUUUCUCCAGAAUCACGUUUUCAAGAAUGUAUUUCUCGAAAAACACAGUUGCAAGAAGUGCCUACAUUUGUAAGUAUGGUUUUUACGACUACAGAGAUAUCUGGAUUCAAUAUACAGAGUGUAUGUCAGCAAUUCUAGAAGUUAGUUUUCCAGAGACUUACACCGCAAAAUCACAAUGGAAAACAGGAUCUAUGAAUAGACAAUCAGAAUCUUUAAAAAACAAAAAAAUAUUCAGAUUCCAUUCUAUUAGCAAAAAAAAAUGUUUUAAAAAACAAACAAAACAAAACAAAAAGAACAUUCAGACUUGCCUCGAAUGUAAGAUA